UACGUAGGGGGCAAGCGUUGUCCGGAAUUAUUGGGCGUAAAGAGCGCGUAGGCGGUCCGGUAAGUCGGUUGUGAAAGUCGGGGGCUCAACCCUCGGAUGCCGAUCGAUACUGUCGGGCUAGAGUCCGGAAGAGGCGAGUGGAAUUCCUGGUGUAGCGGUGAAAUGCGCAGAUAUCAGGAGGAACACCAAUGGCGAAGGCAGCUCGCUGGGACGGUACUGACGCUGAGGCGCGAAAGCGUGGGGAGCGAACAGG
rnacentral:rRNA from 1 species